rnacentral:rRNA from 2 species
GUCGAACGAGCUUCCGUUGAAUGACGUGCUUGCACUGAUUUCAACAAUGAAGCGAGUGGCGAACUGGUGAGUAACACGUGGGAAAUCUGCCCAGAAGCAGGGGAUAACACUUGGAAACAGGUGCUAAUACCGUAUAACAACAAAAUCCGCAUGGAUUUUGUUUGAAAGGUGGCUUCGGCUAUCACUUCUGGAUGAUCCCGCGGCGUAUUAGUUAGUUGGUGAGGUAAAGGCCCACCAAGACGAUGAUACGUAGCCGACCUGAGAGGGUAAUCGGCCACAUUGGGACUGAGACACGGCCCAAACUCCUACGGGAGGCAGCAGUAGGGAAUCUUCCACAAUGGACGAAAGUCUGAUGGAGCAAUGCCGCGUGAGUGAAGAAGGGUUUCGGCUCGUAAAACUCUGUUGUUAAAGAAGAACACCUUUGAGAGUAACUGUUCAAGGGUUGACGGUAUUUAACCAGAAAGCCACGGCUAACUACGUGCCAGCAGCCGCGGUAAUACGUAGGUGGCAAGCGUUGUCCGGAUUUAUUGGGCGUAAAGCGAGCGCAGGCGGUUUUUUAAGUCUGAUGUGAAAGCCUUCGGCUUAACCGGAGAAGUGCAUCGGAAACUGGGAGACUUGAGUGCAGAAGAGGACA